GCCGUAGUACACUUGUUCCCCCUAUCUAUAGGCUCAAGUGCCUUUUUGCGUACCUGGCUACAAGCCAGGUGAUCGGGAGUUCGAGCCUCUCCGGAGGCACCA
rnacentral:tRNA from 2 species